GAGUGCUGCAUAAGCAGGGCCCUUAGGAUUGUUAAUGAUCCCUCCCAUCGAUCCAACAAUCCCUAUGACCACUCCUACUAUCAGGAAGGAGAUACCAUAACAUUAAGACAAAGACUGUUUGGACGAGAAACAGCUUCUUUCCCCUGGCCAUGAGACUACAGAACUCUCCGCUAGCAUCCAGGUCUCCAGACUUGUAAAACCUGAUAAAUCCGAAGGAGCAGCAUUGACUGAUACAGUUUGGCUCCAGUGACAUCGCAGGAGUUGUAGGUCAGCGUUGAACUUAACAUGGGACUGGCUUGAGGACUCCAGCUCUGGAUUCAUCCUCAGGAUUUACUUCUGAAGCCUAUACCAUGCAACUCAACCUGCAAAAUGUUUCCAGUAUUUGGCAACACACACAAAAUGCUGGUGGAACACAGCAGGCCAGGCAGCAUCUAUAAGGCGAAGCACUGUCGACGUUUCGGGCCGAGACCCUUCAUCAGUAUUUUGCAUUUGUUUUUGUUUCAGAUUCCUAGCAGCUGCAGCUCUUCUAUUUCUGAGCACAUGGGAAAAUUGCUUGAUGGUAACACGGGAGAACUGUUCAUGAAUGUGCAAAAUGAGCUAUGGUUCAUUAGUUCAGUAGUUCAGUAGUUCAUGAACUACUGGAUAAAGCUAACAGGUUAAAGACCUGGAGCUAGAAGAUACCCAAGCAAGUCAAUGCCACUCUAGAAAGUUCCAACUUUCUCUCUCUGAUGUUCUAUUCCCUUUAGGAUCUUCUGAAUCCUCGACCUCGCUCAUCCUCACUCUCAUCAUCAGACCAAGACUUAUUACUUUGGUCAUCUCUGGGACCUUCCAUUGAACAAGCUGUUGCUCAUACCCUUUGGCCACUUGCCAUAUCCUAUUGUUUUUCCUGAUUAACUGACUGGAAGCAUGCGGAUGAGAGCUUGGAGUUAAAUUGCCUUGCCCUCACACCAUUGAGGUUAUUGUGGUUUUCUAGCUUUUCCCACUGAAUUAAAAUUGUGAUUUAAAACAAUGAUUUGGCAAAAGAAGAUUAAGUCAUGCAUUCAGCAGAGCAUCAGACUGGAAGGCCAACAAAAGACUGUGAGAAUGGCUGAGAGGAUCAUAAGGGUCCCCCUACCAUUCACUGGGAAUAUUUAUCCCAGAAUGCUGCACAUGUAGGGCCCUUAGCAUGAUCAAGGAUCCCACCCAUCCAUGCAGCAGCCUCUUUGACACUCUACCAUCAGGCAAGAGACUCCGAUGGAUUUAGACAAGAAUGCUCAGAAUGGGAAACAGUUUUUUCCAUAGGCCCUUAGGCUCCUGGACUUCCUGCCACUUCGCAUUCAAAGUGCCAAUGAUUAAUUUGCUCUGUAUCAUACAACAUUUAAUUUAUGCACUUUACUUUGUUUAUCUAUGCGUAACUCAUUUGUAGAUUUAAUUCUUAUUUUCCUAAGAUAUUGCGUGUUAUGUGUACUAUCGUGCUUUACACCAUGGUCCUCAGAAACGUCUCAUUUAACGGUAUCGAUGUACAUAGUUAAGUAUACAAUAAACUUGACUUGA